AGUAACACCAAGCUUGUGUGCCAUUUCCUUGUCUGUAGCCAUGUCUAUGGGCCCUUGAGUUAGCCACCUGGGUGAGGGCCUGUU
rfam:Macaca mulatta chromosome 1, whole genome shotgun sequence.